AUUGAACGCUGGCGGCAGGCCUAACACAUGCAAGUCGAGCGGAGCGGCGGACGGGUGAGUAAUGCCUAGGAAUCUGCCUGGUAGUGGGGGAUAACGUCCGGCAACGGGCGCUAAUACCGCAUACUAUCAGAUGAGCCUAGGUCGGAUUAGUAAGUUGGUGGGGUAAAGGCCUACCAAGGCGACGAUCCGUACCUGGUCCGAGAGGAUGAUCAGUCAAACUGGAACUGGGACACGGUCCAGACUCCUACGGGGGGCAGCAGUGGGGAAUAUUGGACAAUGGGCGAAAGCCUGAUCCAGCCAUGCCGCGUGUGUGAAGAAGGUCUUCGGAUUGUAAAGUACUUUAAGUUGGGAGGCGUUACCGACAGAGUAAGCACCGGCUAACUUCGUGCCAGCAGCCGCGGUAAUUC
rnacentral:rRNA from 1 species